AUGGAGCUGCCGAUGCCGGCGUCCACCUCCUCGCCCAUGCCUCCCCGUCGCUCUUCCUUCACUUUAACUGCUGCAGGAGCGCCAACGCCACCAGGCCGCCGUCCCGCGCUCAAGCUCCUCCACCAGGCCGCCGUUUGCCCGGAUCCGACGCCGGCUGACCAGGAUCCGCUCGUCUUCGCCAUUACCAGCGUUGCAGGAACCAUGCUUCAAGUCCCCGUCGCCAAUCUGGCCUUGCACAUCUUGUUUGACCCAAGGAGACCCACACCACCGGCUAGACCAAGGAUGCUCGAACGAGUGCUGACCGAAACGCCUAAGUACCACUACUUCCACGAUGACCGUUGUUCGCCAAGUACACCUUCGGACGCCAAGUUCCUCUUCAAAACGUACGACUACUUGGUGUUGCGUCAAGUACCCCGACGGCCGGAGCCCUCGGAUCCGUCAAGUUCGUCUACGAACCGAGAACAACAACCAUCUCCGAAGAACCGUGUAACAGAACUGUCAAGUUCGACUAUGACUCGUGUACGACUACGCGGGAUUCCUCGGACGCCAAGUUCAACGAUGCAUCAAGUGCCUCACCGUGACCCUGAACAUCUACAGGAAAACAUGUACCAGUACCGCCGUCGAGAUUGCGAGAACCUCUACCGUCGAUCCUAG
rnacentral:rRNA from 1 species